rnacentral:misc_RNA from 1 species
UGCUCUCAAACUUUCUAAGAUGCAAGAAUUCACAGGCCGAUCUGCCCCAACUGUUAUUACAUAGAUGCUCAAUGGUACAUACAAAAGUUGAGAUCUAAUGCCCUUUUGAACUUGAAAAAGUGUGGCUAUGAUAAGUCGUGCUGUGAUAUUAUGAAACGUUUUAAGGAACUUUUUUGAGCGGUUUAUCCUCUUCCUAUAUUUAUCCUACAUAUGCCAGAUACCAAGGGCAUAAGAGCAUAUGUGCUGUAAAACAUGCCGACCUAAAUUUUUGAUGUAAAAAUAAUACAAAAUAUCUCAUUUACCUGGUGUUUAAUGUUAUAUUCUGAGCUUAAAUUCAAUAAAAAUAAUAUGCUGGUUAUAAUAAUUUCUACUUUAUUACAUGCAUUGGUCACUUCAAUUAGUGCUAGAUUUGGG